rnacentral:rRNA from 1 species
AUACGUAGGGGGCAAGCGUUAUCCGGAUUUACUGGGUGUAAAGGGAGCGUAGACGGCUAUGCAAGUCUGGUGUGAAAACCCGGGGCUCAACCCCGGGACUGCAUUGGAAACUGUGUGGCUUGAGUGUCGGAGAGGUAAGUGGAAUUCCUAGUGUAGCGGUGAAAUGCGUAGAUAUUAGGAGGAACACCAGUGGCGAAGGCGGCUUACUGGACGAUGACUGACGUUGAGGCUCGAAAGCGUGGGGAGCAAACAGGAUUAGAUACCCUGGUAGUCCACGCCGUAAACGAUGUAUACUAGGUGUCGGGUGGCAAAGCCAUCCGGUGCCGCAGCAAACGCAUUAAGCACUCCGCCUGGGGAGUACGACCGCAAGGUUGAA